CCUACGGGAGGCAGCAGUGAGGAAUAUUGGUCAAUGGACGAGAGUCUGAACCAGCCAAGUAGCGUGAAGGAUGACUGCCCUAUGGGUUGUAAACUUCUUUUAUAUGGGAAUAAAAUGUUCCACGUGUGGGAUUUUGUAUGUACCAUAUGAAUAAGGAUCGGCUAACUCCGUGCCAGCAGCCGCGGUAAUACGGAGGAUCCGAGCGUUAUUCGGAUUUAUUGGGUUUAAAGGGAGCGUAGGUGGAUUGUUAAGUCAGUUGUGAAAGUUUGCGGCUCAACCGUAAAAUUGCAGUUGAAACUGGCAGUCUUGAGUACAGUAGAGGUGGGCGGAAUUCGUGGUGUAGCGGUGAAAUGCUUAGAUAUCACGAAGAACUCCGAUUGCGAAGGCAGUUCACUGGACUGCAACUGACACUGAGGCUCGAAAGUGUGGGUAUCAAACAGGAUUAGAUACCCCAGUAGUC
rnacentral:rRNA from 1 species